rnacentral:lncRNA from 1 species
GGGGUGGGGUGGCGGUGGGGGGAGGGGGGUUAUGUUCUGUGGAUAACCGGUAACGAAUUUUGUCAUUAGGACUAAGAGCAAAUCAUGCCGAUAUUUUCCUAAUAGUUCGUCUAAUGCCGUAUAAUAUUAACACACAGACUGACAGAUCAAGUUUGCAUCUACGCGGAUACUACGUUGUCUGCGCAAAAAGAGCGGGAAGUGUGUUAAUGCAUAGGGUAAAGUCAAGGGUGAGGCCAACAUAAACUGAGUUGUGAGCCGACUGCUAUUAGGUUCCUCAACAUGACAGACCCUCACCCCCAAAUUUGUGAUUUCUAUCAAUCAUUCUGUUGUUUCUACAGAUGGCUAUCGAAGUGACAUGUUGUAAGGUUUGGAAGGCUGUUGAACACAUGACAGUCUUCGUGGGGCAUUUGCCUUCUAUACCCCCACCUCCGGCUGGUCUGCUGCCCAUUUCUCUUCCCCUGGGCACAGGUAACUGGGCACAAUGCAGCCUAUCCAAACUACCCUAACGCCAGCGUGGCCCGUAGAGGGACAGACUGUAAUCACAAACACAGCGGUUGAACCAGAAAUCAUUGAUUUGAUCAGUUUGUUGAAGGAAAUGGCCACGAACGCUAAUACUGUAGCGAGCAAGAACCAAAAAUACGAUUGUUAUUGAAGGAAGCUGUUGUUUCAUCUGAAUGCGAGCAGACACACAGUAAUUCCAGAUAAUAUCAAAACGAGUUCAUGUUAACGUUUUUACCGUCUUUCAACUACUUCUACUUUGAUAAAUAUACUUUAAAUUGUCCUUAAUUGGUAUAUGGCUAAAGUGUUUAAACAGUUCUAGUCAACAGUUAUAAUUUUUUUGUUUUCAUUUUUGAUCUAUUUUUCGUGCAUUUUUUCCCUUCCGUACAUUUCUUUCCCCUUUUUUUCUUUAUCUCAUUCUUUUUAUUUUUUGUUUUUUUUUCUAUUUUUUUUCUAUUUUUUUUCUAUUUUUUUUUCCAUUUUUAUUUACUACAAGUUAUUUGUCGCAAUUAUGGUGUACUUAACAAUAAAGGCUAAUAUAACAAACUAAUUAAAUCAUUACAUAAAUUACAUUAUAGAAUUAAAAACAAGUUUAAAACGUCUUAAAAUACACUAAGAAAAUGACUAAUGUGCAUGUGACUCGUUUUGGAAAAAAUCAUGAAAUUUAACGUCGUUCGCGGACGUCGUGUUCGACUGGACCCGCAUGUCGGGCUUGACGACGGUUUCCACCAUCAUGGCCUGGCCGAGUUGGAGGCAGAUUCCGAAAUUGCACACCCCAACACCUAAGCUUUUCUUCGAUGUCUUCAUACCCUCGAAGCACAUGUUGAAACUGUCUGACCACUGUGGUUCCUUCUGCUGCCAAUCCUGCCAAAAUCAAGGCGACUCCAGCUCUCA